rnacentral:rRNA from 1 species
UACGGAGGGUGCAAACGUUGCUCGGGAUCAUUGGGCGUAAAGCGCACGUAGGCGGUCCGGUAAGUCGGAUGUGAAAGCCCUCGGCUCAACCGAGGAAGUGCAUUCGAAACUGCCGGACUUGAGUACGGGAGAGGGAUGCGGAAUUCCCGGUGUAGAAGUGAAAUUCGUAGAUAUCGGGAGGAACACCAGUGGCGAAGGCGUCAUCCUGGACCGAUACUGACGCUGAGGUGCGAAAGCGUGGGGAGCAAACAGG